CACCCCGUCUGGGAAGUGAGGAGCGUCUCUGCCUGGCCGCCCAUCGUCUGGGAAGUGAGGAGCCCCUCUGCCUGGCUGCCCAGUCUGGAAAGUGAGGAGCAUCUCUGCCCGGCCGCCAUCCCAACUAGGAAGUGAGGAGCGCCUCUUCCCGGCCGCCAUCCCAUCUAGGAAGUGAGGAGCGUCUCUGCCCGGCCGCCCAUCGUCUGAGAUGUGGGGAGCGCCUCUGCCCCACCGCCCCAUCUGGGAUGUGAGGAGUGCCUCUACCCGGCCGCGACCCCGUCUGGGAGGUGAGGAGUGUCUCUGCCCGGCCGCCCUGUCUGAGAAGUGAGGAGACCCUCCACCUGGCAACCGCCCAGUCUGAGAAGUGAGGAGCCCCUCUGCCCGGCAGCCGCCCCGUCUGAGAAGUGAGGAGCCCCUCCGCCCGGCAGCCACCCCAUCUGGGAAGUGAGGAGCGUCUCCACCCAGCUGCCACCCCGUCCGGGAGGGAGGGACCUGACAAGCCUCCAGUCCAGCUCUGUUCCAAAGCCU
rnacentral:lncRNA from 1 species